rnacentral:lncRNA from 1 species
CACUGCUUCUGUAGUCUGCCUUAUCGGAUCCUCCGCCAGGUUUUAUAUGCUACUAAUAUACUACUUGGGGCCAUGACAGGAGUACCCCCAAAUCCUGCUGCAGGGGCCCUCUUCAAACUGAUCUACGCAGCACUGCCCUCCUUAGGCUCAGCCCCGGGCUCUGUUCAGGCUGCUGCUGCCCGAGCGCUGGGCUGCGCUCUGGGUGUGUGACUUCCGGAGAGCCCAAUGGCGGGGAGCGAGGGGGGGCGAUUACGACAGGCUCGAGCUCGGCACGAGCGCGGCCGGCGUGAGGAAUUGUGGGUAAGACAGUGCCCGAGCGGCAAAACGAAACGCUGAGAUAAGGGGGAAGGGGUGGGGGUGGGGAGGUGAAAGGUCAGCCGCCGGGAGCCCCCGCGCUCUGCGCCCAAGUAGUGAAUGGAGGGAGCAGUAGUGCUCGCACCGUUGCGCAUUGUUAUGUGGACGCACAUUCCAGGGGGCUCCUUGCACAUCACACCCCUAACUUUUUUUUUUCCAGGGGGAGAUGCUGCCAACAAUGCAUUACAUUUGCUUAACAACAAGUCGGGGUUGUUUUCCUCUCUCUCCUCCCAUGCCGGUGUCCUUGACAAUACAGCAAAGCAGGAAUAUAAACACCAAGCGUGUCUCCACUGCAAGAGGAGCAGGGAGUGCAACGGAGGCUUCUGCUCAGUCUCCUCUCCCCGGGUCACCAGAAUCCCCACAGUCCUUGGAGAUGAGGAGCGCCGGAAGAUUGUGGCCUGGCCAUCCCUUACGUCAUGAAAGUGAUUUGUGCCACAUUGCUAAUUUGGUGCAAUCCAUAACCUUCUGAUCUCCUGUGUUUGUAAUUGCUUUUCAGCUUGCAGAAUGUUUUCUCUGACAUAGUUCUUGAAUAAAGAAAUUACUAUCGCUCA